rnacentral:rRNA from 1 species
CAAGGCCUAUUGGUGACUCAGCAGGAAAUUGGAUGGCGGCUUACCCAAGGAGAGACAAUCCCUACUCCCGCUAAAGAUGAAAUUGUAGUCUUAACUUAUCAUAUACUCAAGGGUUUUACCCCGCCCAGCUCUAAAUUUUUUCGGGACCUCCUCCACUACUUCAACUUGCACCCUCGAGAUAUAGGCCCAAACUUUGUAUCCAACAUUUGCCACUUCCAAAUCUUUUGUGACGUUUACCUUCAAACAACACUUGUUGUUCCCCUCUUUAAGGAGUUAUUUUAUAUAAACCACCAAAUUGAAUGUCAGAAUGACCCAAGCCAAGAAUUAGGCAGAGUCUCUAUUCAGAGCAGGAGAGACAACAACUUUCCUUCCACAAUCUUGCCAAGCCACCCCAAAGGAUGGGUGACCACUUGGUUUUACUGCAAAAAUACUGCUCCAACAACUGAAAACCCUCUGCCUGGGUUUAGAGAUGAAUGUCUUGCAGUGGAUUUUGACCCGCCAAGUAAAAUUAUCCCAGAAGAACAUGCAGAAGCCUUCCCAUUUCUCUCCAAGGCUAAAGCUUUAUUGGCUCAUGGGUUAAUUGGAGUUGAUUUGACCCGAUGUUGGGUCUCUUGGAAGAUACUCCCUUUAAGUCGUUGUCCUAGCUUAAUGUGUGAAUAUUCUGGUGAGCCAAACAAUCCUCAAUGGUACGUUGAAGACAAC